CCCUUAGAUGUUCUGGGCUGCACGCGUGCUACACUGAUAUUGCCAGAAUGUAAUAUCUUAUCCGAAAUGGAUUGGGUAAUCAAGUAAUGAAAUUUCAUGCUUGGAAUCGGUAAUUGCAAUUUUAUCGUGAACGAGGAAUUCCUAGUAAGCACUAGUCAUCAGCUAAUGUUGAUUAUGUCCCUGCCCUUUGUACACACCGCCCGUCGCUACUACUGAUUGGGUGUUCAAGUGAGAUGCUUAGACCCUUGUUGCAUGGUUCAUUAUUGUGCUCCGAAAGGAAAAAGUUUCAAGCUUGAGUGUCUAGAGGAAGUAAAAGUCGUAACA
rnacentral:rRNA from 1 species